rnacentral:sRNA from 1 species
UGCAUCUGCAGCCCAUGAGGAUGAGAACCUCCGGGGGCAGGGAGGUUCGACUCGAGCGAAGCGAGAGAACGUUGCGCCAGCAACGGCCCGCAG